rnacentral:tRNA from 1 species
CUCCUCAUUUCGCGGCGCUGCAGUGCGCCUGGGGUUACGGGACCUCUCAAAUGAGAGGCGAUGA